GAGUUUGAUCCUGGCUCAGGAUGAACGCUGGCGGCGUGCUUAACACAUGCAAGUCGAACGAAGCGCUUAAGAAUGAUUCUUCGGAUGAAGUCUUUUGUGACUUAGUGGCAGACGGGUGAGUAACGCGUGGGUAACCUGCCUCACACAGGGGGAUAACAGUUGGAAACGACCGCUAAUACCGCAUAACCCGCUGGUAUCGCAUGAUACUGACGGAAAAGAUUUAUCGGUGUGAGAUGGACCCGCGUCUGAUUAGCCAGUUGGCAGGGUAACGGCCUACCAAAGCGACGAUCAGUAGCCGGCCUGAGAGGGUGAACGGCCACAUUGGGACUGAGACACGGCCCAAACUCCUACGGGAGGCAGCAGUGGGGAAUAUUGCACAAUGGGGGAAACCCUGAUGCAGCGACGCCGCGUGAGUGAAGAAGUAUUUCGGUAUGUAAAGCUCUAUCAGCAGGGAAGAAAAUGACGGUACCUGACCAAGAAGCCCCGGCUAACUACGUGCCAGCAGCCGCGGUAAUACGUAGGGGGCAAGCGUUAUCCGGAUUUACUGGGUGUAAAGGGAGCGUAGACGGUGAUGCAAGUCAGAAGUGAAAGCCCGGGGCUCAACUCCGGGACUGCUUUUGAAACUGUGUAACUGGAGUGCAGGAGAGGUAAGCGGAAUUCCU
rnacentral:rRNA from 1 species